rnacentral:misc_RNA from 1 species
ACCAAAAUACAUCACACAUGGUACCGAAACCGGAUUAUAUAGAUCAUCUACAGAAUAACUGUCGUCAUAGAAACGACAUAUUCUGGUUGAUGGACAUUGUAAACAAGACGACAGUCUGAACAUGUUGAUGUGACUAUCAUGCAUGUGCAUACUGACUGCCUGGUUGUAAAACGAGGAUGAAUCUACGGUCAGCAUUAUUGUGUCUGCUGCUGCUGCUGCCAGCCGUUUCCUCUCAGAUAGAAUGGUUGAGCCGUCCUCAGAGCAAGGCUGUGAUAGCGGGACGCGAUGUCCGCCUCGACUGUCGGGCCCAGGACUCAGGGGGGACAACUCUGGUCUAUGAAUGGAGGUUCAAUGACAGCCAGAUACAGACAAAAUCUGCAGUAUUUGGAAAUAAUUCUCUGCUGAUACCACAGUUUUCAUCCUCUGAUAUUGGUCGUUACGAUUGUGUCAUCUCAAGCUCAAGAAAUGUUUCAUCUGUCUCAGAAACUGCAACAGUCAUUUUGGCUUAUAUCAACAAGUUCCAGCUCAGCCCUGUAUCAGUUCGCGUAGAAGUCAACGCGUCUGUGACGUUUGAGUGCAUCACAGGUUCCAGCGCCCCCUAUCCUAAAGUGUACUGGGAUCUGAAUGGCCAGGAGUUCUGGGGCGGGGAGCAGGUAACGGCGUCCUACGGAGACUACGACGCCACGGGGCUGAGUGCACAGUACUCCAUGAAGCUGGUUCUCACUAUAAACAGGACCAAUAUUGGAAUCCUCCGCUGUAUGGCGAUAAACACGCUCUUGAAGCGGAAUGUCAGUAGUGGAGACGCAGCAAUAUUCCUGACAGAUGUCGCCACGACACCAGUGCUGUUGGUGCCUCCUGCUGCUGAAGUCGUCGUCCCCGUCAACACAUCUCUGGUGCUAGACUGCCUCACACAGGGCAAAGAUGUACUCACUUUGUGGUUUAAGAAUGAUGCCGGUACCAACGGAAGUUCAACAAGUUACGUAUUUUACAAUGGAAGUCUGAUAUUCACAAAGGUGCUACUGGAGGAUGCUGGGAUAUAUUACUGUCAAGGCGUGAACGCUGUGGGAACUGUCACUUCACGUCGGUCCAAUGUUACUGUCACAGUCCUAAAUGUCGACUUUCAAGAUGAGCCAAGUGAUGCAACAGUGUUUGCUGGCCAGUCCUUGACCUUGAACUGUGUUCCACCAAUCAGUGUGCCUCCUGCUAGAGUCACAUGGUACAGGAACUAUCAGCCAUUGGUUGUUGUCCAAGGGGAGCAGUCAUUGUCCCCCAGUGCUGGAGUGUGGGAUCUACAGUUACAGUCUGUGCAAGCCGAUGAUCAGGGAGACUACUUCUGUGUGGCGGAGAACCUUCUCGCUGUCCCCACCAGUCGCACGUCCAGGGUGGCCACACUUACAGUACAAGGUGCGCCAAUUUUCACUGAACCUCCUCUGAACCAGAGAGUUGUCAAGGGGAGACUACUGCAGUUGAUCUGCCGAGUGCAGGGUUCACCCACUCCUACAGUGUCCUGGUUGUUUGAUGGGAGGAAACUGUCUCCGUCCAGUCAGAUUAGCUUCAGGGCCAGCAACCAGGAGCUGUGGAUCAGCAAUGUGGACAAGUCCCACGAAGGAACAUACACCUGCAUCACACACAACAUGUACGGAAGCAAGACUGUGAAUGUGUCAGUCCGUGUCAUAGUCCCGCCAGUGACCUUAAAAGAUUUUGGCACCAUUGUUGUGACAUCUGGCGACACGGCCAUAUUGCCCUGCGACGUGUAUGGCGAUCCCAAACCAGAAGCUCGUUGGUUCACAGAUGGCAAGCAGAUUGAAGGAGAUCGUCGCAGAUCCAUUGUGGACCUGUCGCUGCACAUAGAGAAUGUGACGUCCGCCGACCAGGGACACUAUGGCUGUAGAGCGGAGAAUGAAGCCGGUGAAACCUGGGCUAACGGAACACUCUCUGUCCAGGUUCCUCCCAAGAUAACACAGGGCCCAGUGGACACGGUGGUCGUGAUUGGUCAGUCCGUGCUCCAAGCCUGCAACACAGAAGGGGUGCCCUCGCCCAAGAUACAGUGGCUGUUCAAUUCUACACAGUACCUGCCUGAAGGCGUGUCGCUGUUGUCGGACCGGAUCACACUGAAGAUCCCCCAUGUGGACUGGCUCCACGUGGGCACCUACACCUGCGUAGCCACCAACAUCGUCAGCCUGGCCAGCAAGUCGGGGACCAUCAAGCUCAAAGUACCUCCAUCCAUCAAGAACGUGACCGGCCAAAAUGUAGUCGACAAAGGGGAGACAAUCCUGCUGGACUGUGUCAAUGAGGGAACGCCAACGCCACAGGUUGAAUGGACACACAAAGGGGAGAUAAUUCAGGAAACUCUAGAUGGGAGAGUUACUUUUCCUUCACGACGAAAGCUUAGGAUAAUGUUCUCCACAGAACAAGAUGCUGGGCUGUAUGGCUGCCGAGCGAGUAACGAUGUGGAUGCAGCCACCAGGACAGUCCGGGUGUAUGUUGUAGAGCCCCCGAAGCCGCCGGUCCUGUCGAAUGCGAUUACGCUGUCCAUGUCGUCUGUGGAGCUGCUGUGGAUCCCCAACUCCCAGGAGCCUCACACCAACGUCACCGGCUACGCUGUCAACUACAAGAGAAGACCAGAGACACAGUAUGUGACGUUUCCCGGGCGAUUGCCCCCGACCCUGCUGCACUAUGAGGUGGAGAACCUCCGCCCUGGCACCGAGUACACCUUCACCAUCUCCGCCCAGAACUCUGCUGGCCUGGGGGCGCCCAGCAACGCACGCACUGUCACCACACGAGAAGCAGGGCCGUCAGCACCAGUGAGGUUGCGGCUGCUGUCCACGGCUGCUCGUGGUGCCAGGCUGUCCUGGGAGGUGCCGGCACAGCAGAACGGGAAUAUCCGGAAAUACCAGGUGCAGUACCGGGAAAUGCUGGCAACAGAUGCUGGCAUCACAGAAUACGACAUUCAGGAGAUUUUAGACCCCAGCCUCCCAAACCAGGAGUUUGACCUGCUUGACCUUCACCCCUACACGAAGUACGAGGUCAGAGUGCGAGCAGCCAACCGUGACGAGGGACAGGACUUGUGGGGACCCUUCUCCCCGUCACUCACCCUCCAGACACGCCCUGCACCUCCCGCCUCCGGUCCCCGUCAUGUGACUGCAGUAGCUGUUGGUCCCCGUGCUGUUGAGGUCACCUGGCAGCCACCUGCUGCUGGAGACGAGAAUGGCCCCAUCACCAUGUACACAGUGAGGUACAGACAGCUGCCGUAUCAUACUCUGUACCCGGACAAACACAUCCUCAACUUUACCACCACCGUCAACCUCACAGAGUUGUCUCCCUGGAAGAACUACUCUCUGGUGAUAGAGGCUGAAAACUCCGCUGGUCGGAGUCCGUUGUCCGAUCCAGUGUUUGUUCAGACACUUCCUGAAACUCCAACAAAUUCCCCUGAAAACCUACAAGUUACUUCGAAGUCUUCUACUGGAUUGGGAAUCACCUGGGAGGUACCCCCAGUGAGGGAGUGGAGCGCUGUCUUGUCUGGCUGUGUGGUACAGUACAAGGGUGGGACGUCCACAGCAUGGAGCAACAUCACCAUCACCAACAUCUCCGACACCGCCGUCAAUAUCAGCCAGCUGACUCCCUGGACUGACUACAGUGUCCGUGCUGCUGUUUACACUCUGCAAGUUAUGCCAGGGCUAGGUCCGUUCUCGGAACCAGUAGAAGUGAAGACGCUCCCAGACAUUCCAGGUCCUGUGGAACAGUUGGAGCAUGCAGCCACCAACACUAGUAUAUCGAUAUGGUGGCUCCCCCCACAGGUGCUGAACGGGGAGUUGCGGCACUACACCAUCACAUACGUCCCUGUUGGGAACACGCCAGUAGAGAGCUCCGGGGACACAGUGCAGGUCUUGCCAGGGCUUCCAGUCGGUCACCAAGGUCAAGGACAAUCAUAUCAGACAGACCAACAGAACACCACCAUCACUGACCUCACGCCAGCCACUGUCUAUAAUGUCUCGGUUACCGCGGCAACUGUUGCCGGGGAGGGGCCUAUCCAGUAUGCUGUGAUCAGUACAACAUACACCGAGACUCUGACAGAUGAUCCUCCCCCACUAACUACUGACAUAUCAACAGAUGCUUCUGUCAACACAACUACUAAUUUGUUAACUGACCCUGGUGGGAACUCCAGGCGAAACCUGCCAGUGAUUGUGGCCGGAGCUCUCACAGGGGGGAUUUUCCUCCUCGUCCUCCUAGCCAUCAUCAUCUGGAGAUGCCUCAAGAAACGCAAAGCUGGGAGGGACCAAUACACGUAUGAGGCGUACUUUAACAGAGGGUUCACCUCUGUGUUGUGAAAUCCGUGGUGUCCGGGGUCCGCAUCACAAAAAGAGAAUCAGGAAACUUUGAUAGACAAAUAUUGGACCCCGCCCACACUGGAGAUGAUGACAUGGCGACACACAACGAUGACGACAGCAAUACACAGGAAAUACAGCA